GGGGAUUUAGCUCAGCGGCAUAAGCGCCUGCCUUGCAAGCAGGCAGUCCUGACUUCGAUCCCCG
rnacentral:tRNA from 1 species